GUUGUGCCCCAUUGCAGCAAAAAACUCCCCAGAUAGGAAAUAAUCCUGAGAGCUUUGGGGCUCAGACCUGGGGAGCUCCAAAGUGGGAACAUACAGCUGCGGGCAGAGCUCCGCUGCCCGUACAGCCGGGCAGCACUGACCACCAGAAGGCAAUGGGAGCAAGGCGCGGGGCUGCCUCCUUCUCACCCGGCACAUUCCACGUGGGUCCGGCGGUUGCCCUGGAAAUGCGGUGGGGGGGUGGGGGAGGGAAAUCAUCUGAGAAAUUAAACAAAAAGGGCCACGAGGCUGAGCAGGAUGCGGUGCUGCGGAGGGAGCGGGUGAUGCUCCGGGGGCUGCGUGCUAUGCCCCCCCCUGAACCCCGGGCUAUAAAUAGUGAAGGAGAGCAGUUGCGGUGACUACCACGAGGCUUUGGCAGCUCCAAAAAGCCACCGGGGUGGGUGGGGGAGGGCGAGGGGGGUGACAGCGUGCGGGGCAGCGACCGCACUCCCAUCCUCAUUUUCCCGGCGUGGAUUGAUCCCCUCGGCGGGCAGCGGCUGCAGGACACGGUGAAGGUUUGGAAGAGAAUCCACUUUGCCCCAUGUUCUGGGGGGAAAAAUCAUUAUUUUAUGAAGCUGAGAUCUCCAAACCAGGAUGAAAUCCACCCAGAAACCCCACGAGAGCCAUCAGCAUCAUGGGUCGUGGGGGAAGCAGCUGCUUUGGGGAUUAUUAAUGAGCAGUGAAUGGUGGGAAAGGCAAGGAUCAAUCGGAACAAAGGAGUUCAAUGGCAAAAAGAAAUGUCUGCAGAGUAAUGGGAGUCCAUUUCUCCUGCUGACUGUCGGAAGCG